rnacentral:rRNA from 1 species
GACGAACGCUGGCGGCGUGCUUAACACAUGCAAGUCGAACGGUGAAGCGCCUUCCUUUUUGGUGGGUGUGGAUGAGUGGCGAACGGGUGAGUAACACGUGAGUAACCUGCCCCCUUCUUCUGGAUAACCGCAUGAAAGUGUGGCUAAUACGGGAUAUUCUGGGUCUGUCGCAUGAUGGGUCUGGGAAAGAUAUUGUUUCGGUGGGGGAUGUGCUCGCGGCCUAUCAGCUUGUUGGUGGGGUGAUGGCCUACCAAGGCGGUGACGGGUAGCCGGCCUGAGAGGGUGGACGGUCACACUGGGACUGAGACACGGCCCAGACUCCUACGGGAGGCAGCAGUGGGGAAUAUUGCACAAUGGGCGCAAGCCUGAUGCAGCGACGCCGCGUGAGGGAUGGAGGCCUUCGGGUUGUGAACCUCUUUCGCCAGUGAAGCAGGCCUGCCUCGUUUGUGGGUGGGUUGACGGUAGCUGGAUAAGAAGCGCCGGCUAACUACGUG